AAGUGAGUAGCUUAAGAGUUAAAGCGUAAACUUUUUAAGUUUAAGAUGAUCUUCCUCGCUUA
rnacentral:tRNA from 1 species